rfam:Erinaceus europaeus unplaced genomic scaffold scaffold00097, whole genome shotgun sequence
GUCUACUGCCAUACCACCCUGAACACGCCUCAUCUCAUCUGAUCUUGGAAGCUAAGCAGGGUUGGACCUGGUACUUGGAUGGGAGAAAUGGAGAGAGGAAGGGAAGAUAGAGA